rnacentral:rRNA from 1 species
UACGUAGGGUGCGAGCGUUGUCCGGAAUCACUGGGCGUAAAGGGCGCGUAGGUGGCUUGGUAAGCGUGUGGUGAAAGCUCGGGGCUCAACCCCGAGUCGGCCAUGCGAACUGCCGAGCUUGAGCAUGGUAGAGGCAGGUGGAAUUCCGGGAGUAGCGGUGAAAUUCGUAGAUAUUGGGAAGAACACCAGUGGCGAAGGCGGCUCUCUGGUCCACACCUGACGCUGAGGCGCGAAAGCGUGGGGAGCAAACAGG